rnacentral:rRNA from 1 species
UACGAAGGGGGCUAGCGUUGUUCGGAAUCACUGGGCAUAAAGGGCGCGUAGGCGGCUUUAUAAGUCGGGGGUGAAAGCCUGUGGCUCAACCACAGAAUUGCCUUCGAUACUGUAGAGCUUGAGACCGGAAGAGGUAAGUGGAACUGCGAGUGUAGAGGUGAAAUUCGUAGAUAUUCGCAAGAACACCAGUGGCGAAGGCGGCUUACUGGUCCGGUUCUGACGCUGAGGUGCGAAAGCGUGGGGAGCAAACAGG